rnacentral:lncRNA from 1 species
UUGGACAGUAGAUGAUUGUUUAAAUGUUACAUGGAAAGGAUUGGAAUUUAAAUUAAUCCGCUUAAAAAGGUCUACAUAUAAUUAGAUUAAAGGUGAGUAUGAUGUCACAAACAUCUUAAGGUUUGACGUUUAUUCAAGACAUUUUACUAUGUACCAUAGUUUGUAUUUUUGUUUUUUUUAAUACAUAGUUUAGACAAUAGAUAAAUAGUGUCUCAUAAGUCAACUUUGAUUGGGUAUGUCUAUUUUCUUUUUUUGUUUGUUAUUUUCGUACAAGUUUCUCAUAGUUUUCGCUAAUAUUGCAAAUUUGACUGUUUAUACACAUAUUUACAAUAAUAGCAAUAAUGUACUACUACUCAUUGUUUGCACAUUAGAGCGCCAACAUUUAAAAAAAAAGUUUUUCGACACUAUAAAUAUUUUUUCUUCUUCAAAAUUAAACACUACAAGGUAUUUGGAAAAAUUCACGCGAAACUGCCUACCCUUCCAGAGUACCUGAGAUCACCCCUAGUUUUUGGCGGGGUUCGUGUUGCUAAGUCUUUAGUUUUCUAUGCAGUGUCAUGUGUACUAUUGUUUCUCUGUUUGUCUUUUUCAUUUUAAGUCUCCCAAAACAAAGUUUGAAGACAUUGUUUUUGCUCAGUUAACUUCUUAUUAUUUUUAUGUCACCCUGACGUAGGUCGGGUGACAUAUUGUUAUUGUACGAUUCUUUUUUUCUUAUUCUUAUUCCACACUUUUUGUCCAGCUUAGUUCUCGGAACUGAAUGGACCAAUGUUGAUGGAACUAUUACAUAAUGUUGAUCACCAUGUGUGGUUGUGCACCUGACUUUGGAAUUUAAAAAUGGCUGCCGUUGCCAUGGAAACAGCAAAAAUGUGAAAAAUUGGAAAGUCUUCCAUAUUGAAUAAAACUUUUAUGAUAUUGAGAGACUUAUGUCCACUUUAACCUGAUAUAUUUUUAUUCCAACUGGGGGUCUCCUUGGCAUAAUUUGAGGGGGGCGAAAUUUCAUGGAACAUUCCAGAACAUUGGUGUUAAAUUAAUUCUACAGCCAUUAAAUGUUAUAUGAUGGUAUACUAUUAUGCGGAGCA